rnacentral:rRNA from 1 species
GGAGUUUGAUCCUGGCUCAGAAUGAACACUGGCGACAUGCCUUACACAAGCAAGUCAGACGGGAAGUGGCGUUUCCAGUGAUGGACGGGUGAGUAAUGUGUAAGAACCUGCCCUUGGAAGGGAAACAACAGCUCGAAAUGGCUGCUAAUUUCCCGUAGGCUAAGGAGCAAAAGGAGGAAUCUGCCCGAGGAGGGGCUCACGCCUGAUUAGCUAGUUGGUGAGGCAAUAGCUUACUAAGGCGAUGAUCAGUAGCUGGUCCGAGAGGAUGAUCAGGCAUACUGAGACACAGCCCAGACUCCUACAGGAGGAAAUAGUGGAAAAUUUUUCGCAAUGGGCAAAAGCCUAACAGAGCAAUGUUGCAUGGAGGUAGAAGGCCUACGGGUCGUGAACUUCUUUUUCCGGAGAAGAAGCAAUGACAGUAUCCAGGGAAUAAGCAUCAGCUAACUCUGUGCCAACAGCCGAGGUAAGACAGAGGAUGCAAGUGUUAUCUGUAAUGAUUUGGCGUAAAGCGUCUGUAGGUGGCUUUUUAAGUUCGCCGUUAAAUCCCAGAGCUCAACCCUGGACAGGCGAUGGAAACUACCAAGAUGGAGUACGGUAGGGGCAGAGAAAAUUUCCGGUGGAACGGUGAAAUGCGUAGAGAUCGGAAAGAAGACCAAUGGCAAAAGCACUUUUUUGGGCCGAAACUGACAUUGAGAGACGAAAGCUAGGGGAGCGAAUGGGAUUAGAUACCCCAGUAGUCCUAGCCAUAAACGAUGGAUACUAGGCGUUGUGCGUAUCAACCCGUGCAAUAUUGUAGCUAAUGCGUUACUCAAAGGAGACGGGGGCUCGCACAAGCGAUAGAGCAUGUGGUUUAAUUUGAUGCAAAACAAAGAACCUUACCAAGAAUUGACAUGCCGCGAAUCCUCUUGAAAGAGAUGGGUGCUUUUGGGAAUGCGGACACAGGUAGUGCAUGGCUGUCGUCAGCUCGUGCCGUAAGGUGUUGGAUUAAGUCGCGCAACGAGCGCAACCUUCGUGCUUGGUUGCCAACAUGAAGUUUGGAACCCUGAGCAGACUGCCGAAGGAAGGUAAGGAUAACGUCAAGUCAUCAUACCCCUUAUGCCUUGGGUGACACACAUGUUACAAUGGCUGGGACAAAAGAUCGCAAUCCCGCAAAAGUGAGCUAACUCAAAAAACCCAUCAUCGGUUUGGAUUGUAGGCUGCAACCCACCUACAUGAAGCCAGAAUCACUAGUAAUCACUUGUCAACCAUACGGUGGUGAAUUCGUUCCUGGGCCUUGUACACAUCACCCGCCACA